rnacentral:rRNA from 1 species
GCAAGUCGAGGGGUAACGUUUGUGCUUGCACAAGAUGACGACCGGCGCACGGGUGCGCACCGCGUAUGGAACCUACCUUUUACAGGGGAAUAGCCUUUGGAAACGAAGAUUAAUGCCCCGUAGUAUCAUCAUAUAGCAUUGUAUUUUGAUUAAAGGCUUCGGCCGGUAGAAGAUGGCCAUGCGUCCCAUUAGUUCGUUGGUAAGGUAACGGCUUACCAAGACUACGAUGGGUAGGGGCCCUGAGAGGAUUAUC